UCACCCUCUUACCCCCCUCCCAACCAACCACCCAAAUGGGUAGAGAUCAAAGGUGGCUCUUUAUUCAUAUCUCUGUUUAUUCUGAGCCAGGGCUAUGACCUUAUGAGCAAGUGAGCUUUAUUUACUGGCCCAGGCCAGCCCAGUGCAAUGGCAAUUCUUAUUCUUGUUAUACCAUCAGAACUCUGCUUGCUUAAUGUAAUUUUAUAUGAGCUUACAUCAACAUAAUAGUAAUAGUAGUCAUCAGUAUACCAUAGAUCAAAAUGAUGUAAGCUCAUAUAAAAUUACAUUAAGCAAGCAGAGUUCUGAUGGUAUAACAAGAGAGAAUUAAUUAACAUGAUGAUGGUGAUGAUGAC
rnacentral:misc_RNA from 1 species